rnacentral:rRNA from 1 species
UACGUAGGGGGCAAGCGUUGUCCGGAAUCAUUGGGCGUAAAGCGCGUGUAGGCGGCUCGUCAAGUCCGCUGUGAAAGUCCAGGGCUCAACCCUGGGAUGCCGGUGGAUACUGUCGAGCUUGAGUCCGGAAGAGGCGAGUGGAAUUCCUGGUGUAGCGGUGAAAUGCGCAGAUAUCAGGAGGAACACCAAUGGCGAAGGCAGCUCGCUGGGACGUGACUGACGCUGAGACGCGAAAGCGUGGGGAGCGAACCGG